rnacentral:lncRNA from 1 species
UAUAGAGAGAGAGAGAGUAUGGCUACUAUACUCUUAUGAGUAUUGGGCUCUUCGUACUCAUAAGUUGUUUUCGAUGAUGAAGCUUCCGAAUCGACGAUCCACUCCGUUAAAUAUGAUCUAGAGUAUUUGAAACUUUUAGAAAAUAAAUUUCAUAAUUUUUCGAAAUCAUAAUAAGGUCCAUCAAGCGGGCAUAAAAUGAACGGUCAAAAUCGAACGACGUCCUUAAAAUGGAUGAUCGGAUCCUUCAAUUUAAGAUCGGAGUUAUUGAUCUUUAUCUAGGUAGUGAAUAGAAUUUUCUAUCAAAACUUCAACCUAUUCCGAUUCAUUUACACCGUUAAAUUAGCAAGUAUCCCAUACCGGCCGUUAAAAAUUGUCAAUUUUGUAAGCUUUUGAUCGUAAGGCAAAUGAUGUCGAAAAAUUAUGAAAUUUGAUUUCUAAAAGUUUUAAAUGCUCUAGAUAAUGUUUAACGGUGUGGAUCGUCGAUUUGGAAGCUCUAUCAUCGAAAACAACUUAUGAGUACGAGAGCGAUCGUACUCAUAAGAGUUUAGUAGCUGGACUCUAUAUAUAUAUAUAGAGUCCAGCUGGGAUACUAUCGAUAGCAUCUAAGUGUUUGGUGCUAUCAAAUUUUCCACCAUUAGAUUUAACCCUUUGACUAUUUUCACCCGUUAGAUUAUACUAUUAAACCAAUAACUUACUCAACCCUAGGGGGCCCACAUCAUCCUAGCCGUUCAUUUUUUCAUCCAAGGGCCAAAAUCUUAAUA